AAGGUACAGUGGAUGGUUGCUGGUAGAAUUUUUAUUAUAGAAAAUUCUGCGAGAGGAAAGUCUGGGCUACAUGUGAGACAAGACUCCAUCUAACCGAUGGCCAGAGUAAUCUGAGGGCAAGUGCAACAGAAAGCAAACCGCCUCUUCUAUUUAAUGCAAAUAGGGGCAAGGUAAGGGUGAAACGGUAGAGUAAGAGCCUACCAGUGCCUGUGGUAACACGGGUAGCUAGGUAAACCCUGUCUGUAGCAAGAAGUACACGGUAAAAGUCUCACACACUAUAGUACUUCGCUUGAGGGCUAUGGCAACAUAGCUCCUAGAUAAAUAACUAUCCAAGACAGAACCCAGCUUAUAGCUGUGCCUUAGUU
rnacentral:RNase_P_RNA from 2 species